rnacentral:piRNA from 1 species
UAGGCAGUCUCGGACAGUCUAGAAAUGUC